rnacentral:rRNA from 1 species
GGGUUGUGAGGUUAAGCGACUAAGCGUACACGGUGGAUGCCCUGGCAGUCAGAGGCGAUGAAGGACGUGCUAAUCUGCGAUAAGCGUCGGUGAGGUGAUAUGAACCGUUAUAACCGGCGAUUUCCGAAUGGGGAAACCCAGUGUGUUUCGACACACUAUCAUUAACUGAAUCCAUAGGUUAAUGAGGCGAACCGGGGGAACUGAAACAUCUAAGUACCCCGAGGAAAAGAAAUCAACCGAGAUUCCCCCAGUAGCGGCGAGCGAACGGGGAGGAGCCCA